AUUUCGAGAAGUUAUAUGGCCUCCACGGAUAUGAAGGGCAAAGGUGGAAAAAUAUGUUUUAAGAACACUAAUCUAUAUGGCGUUGAAAAAGAUAUACCU
rnacentral:lncRNA from 1 species